UUUACAUUUUCCUUUCAUGUCGAUAGAAAAUAUUUUCAAUUACACCACACAAAAUAGAGUACCAAUUGUGCCAACUUCCUUGAACAAAUCCCAUAGAAAGGUUGUUCAACAGAUUAUUGUAAGAAAAUAUUUUCUCUUACUUUGCAUAAUGACUGCUUCCUUCUAUGUACCUCGAGCACAAUGUCAUCGAGAAUUCUGAAAUUGCAUGUCGCAGUAUAAGAAGACGUUUGCAACAGAUUUCAUUAUGUUUAUCCAAUAAGCUUGAAUGUCAUCAAUGUACAUGCAAUGUUAUUAUUCAUGAUUUAUUUUUACUUCAAAAGCUUAUUGUCAACAGUUCCAGUGAAGUUCAAUUUUUCUCCUGUGCAGUCUAGACCCUGCUUUCUGUUAGAUAGAUCGAAGUAACAUGUUUAGUCAGCCUACAAGAUGGCACAUGUUUGGUACACACAAACAGAAAUCCUGUCUUAAUUAGUUACAAAAGUAAGUAAGACAGUUUUGAAAUUUGGCGUACAAAUAACCAACAGAAAGUACAACCUUUAUUUUAAUUACUUGUCUCACAUAUUUUCAAAUAUUGGUGUUCAAAUAUAAUUUUUUUAAUAAGUUAUUCCUUAAUUGUGGGCUAGGUAAAAUCCACACAAAAUAUAACGUUUAUUGAUAUAGAAAGUCUGUGAGUUACCUCCCUUCCUAUUUUGAUGCACAUGUUUACUGAAAGUAGUUGACAACUUGGAUGGGAGGAAUAAUAUUGUUUUCAUCAACCAUGAUUAAAAAUGCCUCGAUAUAAGAAAGUAUCUUGUUCAAGGUACAAAUAAACAACUGAUUUAUGAAUAUAGUAGUUUUACUCGAUAAUCCAAGUUAUCUCACUUGUGUUUUUUUAAAGGUUAAAUCUCUCCGACAUAAAUUACUAUGUCAAGAUGUUUCAUUCGAAAAACAAGCUUUGCAAAAUUGGACACUUGAACCAACUGAGAAGAUAAGGCACAUCCUGAAAUAGAGCCGAUGUUGCACGACCGUAACGUGCUCAGGUGGGAGUGGACACACAGACACCAUGUCUUCUGUCUUCAUGUUAACGUGCUACUUCUCCGACAUGAUUCGGCAGCGGGAGACGGGAGAAUGUGGCUUCAUUCUCUCCGACUUGUGGAUUAAGUGUUUGCAUGUCAUAUUGAGUUAGUAACGGAACACAUGCUUUUGAAACAAUCGAGUGUUCUGUUACCCCAUUGAGGAGAUAGCUUGCAGGAUAUUGUCAUGUCAGUAUUGACUGAUAACCUCUUGAAAUUUGUUUUACAUUGUCACAAUUACAUAUGUUAUUAUUUUCUCAGUUUGAUUUUUAGACUUUUUCUGUGUCAAGAAAUAUUAUUUUAAUUUCCAAAUAUAUGUCUUAAAUUCAUCUGUUAAUGAACUAAUCUGGACAACUGUUAAAUGGUGACAAAUCGCCAUUCUGUUGAGUUAUUGACAUUUGUACCAUAUCUUUGAAAAUAUGGUGUACGUUCACAUAUCGAUAACUACAAGUGAUUGCCGAGUCUGUACGUUCACAUAUAGAUAACUACAAGUGAUUGCCGAAUGUGGCGUUAAACACCAAAGCAACGAUAACUACAUGUGAAAGAUGAUAUGAAACUGGGAGGGAAACAGCCAGAUAUUUUCAAUAAAUCAGCAAAUACAUUUGUAUUUUGUUAUUUUCUUUUUACUUAUGUUUAAGGGGUGGGAUUUGGGUGUGUUUUUCCUGGGAAAUUUGUAUUUUGUACUGAUAUGAGUAUUGUAUGUAUUCAGUUGAUAUUUUGUGAAAAUGUUUCAAUCUAAUCAAAGCCAAUUUGAUAUUUUCAAAUUAGUUAUUGAUAUCUACUCAAUUUAAUGUCAUUUAUUUUAAAUUCUAUCUUGGGGUUUGUAAAUUUUAUGUCCCAGAAAGUGAUGUCUGUUACUUACACAUCAUCAACAGAUCAUUAAAACCCCGCCCUGUAUUCCGGCUGACAGGGCCUGUGGCUAGCACUUCGCCUCAGUGAUUUCACUUCACUAAUCAAUCUGUGAUCACGGUCCCUACUGAGGCAUUGUUGUGAUGUGGAGGAGGUGUGGCUGACGUACCUGUUGAUGUCAAAGACAAUCCUGUGUACAGGAAUUUGAAGAGCAAGAGCAUUAUUUCUGAACACUAUUGAGCUCCAGCAUGGAUCACCAGCACUAUCUAAGAAAUCCACAAUGGCUGAAUGACGUCAACAAGGCUGUUUGUCAUAUAAAGUUGUUACAUAACAAUGCUGCAAUGCUGUCCCGAUGAUUAAAACAAUACGCUGGGUCCUGUGAUACUGGUCCCAAUCAACACAUUUUCCCUAAUCCUCAGGGCAGUCAACUGUUUUAUUUCCUUCUCAAUACAUUCUCUGUUUCCUA
rnacentral:lncRNA from 1 species